UGAUGAUGAUGAUGGAGGUGUUCUUGGUGGUCAAAGGAGCCCUCUGUUUUAGAGAGGCAGGUUCUAUGAUGAGUAUUGUGCAAGAAGGAAUGAGAGGCUUUUCAAUAAAAAGAAAGGUGAAGUUGAAGGCUAUGAGAAGAAGCCUGCAUAUGCAUAUGAUCUUGGUGUUAUAGUUGAGUCUGCAAAGAAGAGGGAGGCCACCAAAUUCGAUAGCCGGAGGAAGGCGGCUGUUGUUGCGGUGGCUGCAGCCACACUAAUGGUUGAGAGGCGGGAGGCGGCUGUUGUUGCGGUGGCUGCGGCCACGCUAGUGGUUUUGUUUGGUUUGUUGUCCUAUCUUGAUUUAUACGAACAUCUCUUAUGCAGGCAGGAGCUAAGUUCAUAUUACAUAUGCACAUCGUUCAACAUAUAAACAACAAAGUUCAUUAAAAACAGAAAACAUAACAUGUAAAAUUGAAAUAAAAAUAAUAGCACAUGAUUAUUGUAAUUAAACCUUAAGACAAACAAUAAAUUGUUCAGUGUCUUGACUCGGC
rnacentral:lncRNA from 1 species